rnacentral:rRNA from 1 species
ACUCAAAUGAAUUGACGGGGGCCCGCACAAGCAGUGGAUUAUGUGGUUUAAUUCGAAGCAACGCGAAGAACCUUACCAGGUCUUGACAUCCCUUGAUCUUCAUAGAGAUAUGAAUUCCCUUCGGGGCAAGGAGACAGGUGGUGCAUGGUUGUCGUCAGCUCGUGUCGUGAGAUGUUGGGUUAAGUCCCGCAACGAGCGCAACCCUUACCGUUAGUUGCUACACGUAAAGGUGAGAACUCUAAUGGGACUGCCGUUGACAAAACGGAGGAAGGUGGGGAUGAUGUCAAAUCAUCAUGCCCUUUAUGACCUGGGCGACACACGUAAUACAAUGGCACUAAACAGAGGGAAGCGAAGGAGCGAUCCGGAGCGAAACCCAAAAAAGUGUCUCAGUUCGGAUUGCAGGCUGCAACUCGCCUGCAUGAAGUCGGAAUUGCUAGUAAUCGCGGAUCAGCAUGCCGCGGUGAAUACGUUCCCGGGCCUUGUACACACCGCCCGU